rnacentral:tRNA from 1 species
GGCAGGACAUCUCAGGGGUUAGAGAGCUAGCCUGCUACUUAAGAGUCCUGGGUUCCAUUCCCUGCUCUGCCA